GAUGAACGCUAGCGGCAGGCUUAACACGUGCAAGUCGAGGGGCAUCAGUUUGGUUUGCUUGCAAACCAAAGCUGGCGACCGGCGCACGGGUGAGUAACACGUAUCCAACCUGCCUCAUACUCGGGGAUAGCCUUUCGAAAGAAAGAUUAAUAUCCGAUAGCAUAUAUUUCCCGCAUGGGUUUUAUAUUAAAGAAAUUCGGUAUGAGAUGGGGAUGCGUUCCAUUAGCCUUGUUGGCGGGGUAACGGCCCGACCAAGGCAUCGAUGGAUAGGGGUUCUGAGAGGAAGGUCCCCCACAUUGGAACUGAGACACGGUCCAAACUCCUACGGGAGGCAGCAGUGAGGAAUAUUGGUCAAUGGACGAGAGUCUGAACCAGCCAAGUAGCGUGAAGGAUGAAGGUCCUAAUGGAUUGUAAACUUCUUUUAUACGGGAAUAAGUGCAGUAUGCAUACUGUUUUGUAUGUACCGUAUGAAUAAGGAUCGGCUAACUCCGUGCCAGCAGCCGCCGUA
rnacentral:rRNA from 1 species